rnacentral:rRNA from 1 species
GCGUCGUUUGCGACGCCCAACACACAAAACAAGCGGUGGGUGCUUUGGGGUGGGGUGACUGCGUACCUUUUGUAUAAUGGGUCAGCGACUUAUAUUCUGUAGCAAGGUUAACCGUAUAGGGGAGCCGUAGGGAAACCGAGUCUUAACCGGGCGUUAAGUUGCAGGGUAUAGACCCGAAACCCGGUGAUCUAGCCAUGGGCAGGUUGAAGGUUGGGUAACACUAACUGGAGGACCGAACCGACUAAUGUUGAAAAA